GGGUGGAUGGCAGAGCGGUCAAUUGCUCGCGACUGUAAAUCGCGCGUCUUCGGACUACGGGGGUUCAAAUCCCUCUCCACCCACAA
rnacentral:tRNA from 2 species